rnacentral:rRNA from 1 species
UACGAAGGGGGCUAGCGUUGCUCGGAAUCACUGGGCGUAAAGCGCACGUAGGCGGAUCUUUUAAGUCAGGGGUGAAAUCCCAAGGCUCAACCUUGGAACUGCCUUUUGAUACUGGGGAUCUCGAGUCCGGAAGAGGUUGGUGGAACUGCGAGUGUAGAGGUGAAAUUCGUAGAUAUUCGCAAGAACACCAGUGGCGAAGGCGGCCAACUGGUCCGGUACUGACGCUGAGGU